rnacentral:tRNA from 1 species
CUCCCUGUGGCUCAGUUGGUAGAGCAUGGUGUUUGCAACGCCAGGGUUGUGGGGGUCGAUUCCCACGGGGGGC